rnacentral:misc_RNA from 1 species
GAUGAAGAACGUAGCGAAAUGCGAUAAGUAGUGUGAAUUGCAGAAUUCAGUGAAUCAUCGAAUCUUUGAACGCACAUUGCGCCCCUUGGUAUCCCGAGGGGCAUGCCUGUUCGAGCGUCAUUACGCCCCUCAAGUCCCCUGUGGACUUGGUGUUGGGGAUCGGCGAGGCUGGUUUUCCAGCACAGCCGUCCCUUAAAUUAAUUGGCGGUCUCGCCGUGGCCCUCCUCUGCGCAGUAGUAAAACACUCGCAACAGGAGCCCGGCGCGGUCCACUGCCGUAAAACCCCCCAACUUUUUAUAGUUGACCUCGAAUCAGGUAGGACUACCCGCUGAACUUAAGCAUAUCAAUAAGCGGAGGA